GUGGAGGUGACACCUCUGGCAGCACACUGGGCCCCGACUGUCGGCCCUGCCUGUCACAGGCCCUGCUCACAGUUCGAUAUCGGCUAUGAGGGCUUACCUGGUUUUGUCUGGAAGGGCCACAGAGUGACCCAGGAGCCAGGGAGGAGUCAGAGCUGGAUGUGUAGGCACAGACUGGAGCAGAGUGCUCUUGGGUUGGGGCUGCAUAGUUGGCCCUCGGGAGACAAAGGCACAGCAGCCAGGAACGCCACUCUCCGACCAGGAGUACCGCCAGUUCUUCAAGUUCCUCCGGAUCACUCUCCAAGCCAGCACUGCCUGCCACCUUCGUGAGCUGUAUGGCUGCCAGAACUCACUGGUCCAGACACUGGACAAGUACGAAAACCACGGAGUCAUCCCUCAAGGACCCGUAUGCUCCGAAAUGCCAGGAAAAACUUUCUUCCCAAACUUCUGCACCUUUUCUUUUUAUCGCUGUAUUAAGAAAAAGUAUUUUCUUAAGAGGAUUGCAUGCCCAGGAGAGAGCACCGCCAAGCUGCGCAACACAGCAGGCACCAAUGACAUUACCACGAGCAGUCAUGCCAUGUCAUCCAGAAACUUCGGUCCCCAGCCACUUUACCCCACAUCUCCCACAAGUACCCAUCCAGCUGGCUCCAGCCCUGACACGGAAGUAUCUGUGACCCCCACCUUCUUACCUACUGGCCCACAAGCCACAGAGGUGACAGCCGGUGGCCAGCAGCUGCCACACAGUGACAUCGAGGAUCUCCUCCUCAGGCUGCUAGACAGCCAGGUGCAGAGCUCCCUGCAGACAAUGAAGUUGUUGUUGUCUGUUGGGAAGGCAGUGAAGGAAGAAGAGUUGCAGGAGGCUGCCGCAAGGCUGCUGGAGGCCCUGAACAAUGCAAAUGUGCCUCAAUCGCCAAACUGACACAGGUCAAUAGUGUGGGAAAGACAGAGGAAAAGCCACCUCUUCCAAGUGCAUGGGGAAACAGAGUCAUGUGAAAUGCUACUGCUCAGGAUUCAAAGAAAAAGAUGGUAUCCUCUUGGAAGUGAAUGCACUGAAAAGAUGCUGUUCUGUCCUGCAAAAACUGUUUGCUCACUAUUGUGAUGGUGCUUGUUGUGUCACUCAAGGAAUGUCAUGGGAGAAUGUUGUCUUUUCUUCAUUAAAUGUAGAUGCUUCUGUUCAAAA